AUUGAACGCUGGCGGCAUGCUUUACACAUGCAAGUCGAACGGCAGCGGGGGCUUCGGCCUGCCGGCGAGUGGCGAACGGGUGAGUAACGCAUCGGAACGUGCCCAUGUCGUGGGGGAUAACGUAUCGAAAGGUACGCUAAUACCGCAUACGUCCUGAGGGAGAAAGCGGGGGAUUCUUCGGAACCUCGCGCGAUUGGAGCGGCCGAUGUCGGAUUAGCUAGUAGGUGAGGUAAAGGCUCACCUAGGCGACGAUCCGUAGCGGGUCUGAGAGGAUGAUCCGCCACACUGGGACUGAGACACGGCCCAGACUCCUACGGGAGGCAGCAGUGGGGAAUUUUGGACAAUGGGCGCAAGCCUGAUCCAGCCAUGCCGCGUGAGUGAAGAAGGCCUCGGUGUAAAGCCUGUCUAUGGAGAAGUCAGUGACGUACCAUAGAGGAGCACGGCAACUACGUAGCCAGCAGCCGCGGUAAAAUAAGCGUACU
rnacentral:rRNA from 1 species